GGCCUGGUAGCUCAAUGGUAGAGUGUCAGACGGUGAUACCAGCUUGCGUGUCCAGGUUAAUCUGACGGUGUGCGUUCAAGUCGCGCCCAGGCCU